CAAGAGGUGUUUUGAACACCAAGAACUGCUAAUUCUUUCUACUGAAGUUAAAAUCCUCAGAC
rnacentral:tRNA from 1 species